rnacentral:lncRNA from 1 species
CAGACUCAAUUAUUUACAGACCGCUGCCAUAUAGCUGGAAUAUUGCUGAGUGCAGCGUAAAACUCAACUCACUCACUCACUCACUCUUAACCACUGUUUCUACUGGUGGUUAAAGGGGCUCAUUGACAUUAAAGGAGCAUCUUGUCAUCCUCCAGGCCAAGGUAUUUUUACAGGUUUGGGUAAAGUUGAGUGUCCAUCCUGACAAUAUUCCACCAUUGUCUGAUGUUGACCCGAUAUUGUUAACAAUGUAAUGUACAAAACAGGAAUAUGCUUCUUAAAAGUUCUGACAUGCAAAUUGUUGCCGUCAGUUAAGAAUGCAGCCAUUACACACACCUCAAUCUAGAAAUGGUUGGUGGGGUAGCCUAGUGGUUAAAGCGUUAGCUCGUUAUGCCGAAGAUCCGGGUUUGAUUCCCCACAUGGGUACAAUGUGUGAAGCCCAUUUCUGGUGUCCCCCACCAUGAUAUUGGUGGAAAUUGCAAAAAGCAGCAUAAAACUAAACUCACUCACUCACUACAAACCAAACCUUGGGAUGCCAGACAAUCUGACAGUUCAUGGAACAGUACCACAAUUACAUGUUUCUGAGUAAACCAACCCAAAUCCAUGUAUGUGAAAUAUUUAGGUUCACACAGUUCAUGAGAAAUGGUGUGAAGUUCACAUUGAAAAUAUGUUCUAUUUUUGCCUGGAUUAUUUGGCAGUGUCUUGAAUGAUCUCUAUAAAAGAUAUUUAAUAAAAAUAAUUUUUUGAAAUAUAAUGCAAUUUUUUUAUGGGCAAAAAAAAGUGUAGCAUAUUGUAUCCAGACUUCAGUGGCCAUAUUCACGUGUCGGGCGUAGCUAACAUCAGGCGUAACACACUACGUCAGGCUUAGCAGCGGCCUGCUUUUACACGUCAUGCACAACGUCGGUUAAGCCUAGGCGUUACUACGACCGACUUACUUAACGGAUUUACGUCCUGGCACCGUUUGCUAUUUUUGGAUUUUCAAACAUUUUUAAACCAACGGGAAGCGGUGCAAAACAUCUUCGCAGCACGUCCGUUUCAGCCGUAAUCACGGAAAGCCAAAGAAAACCGGGAAAAGCAAAUUUAAUUUAUUAAUUAUUAAUAUGUGUAUUCUAAACUGUAAUGACUUUAAUCUGAUGUGUUUCAAGUGCAUUUAAACCUUACUUUACAGUCACGUUUUGUGUGAAAUGAGUAUGAAUUCAAGUUAAUGGUGGAAUUGCGGUUGGAGCCAUAACCAAUAUCACCUCUGAUUGUAUUCACUAUCUUGAAAAUGUCAAUUCUCCUGAUUCUAAAUCUUCUGUACAGAUCAAGGUCGUUGGAUAUUUCUAAAGGGUUUGACCUUUCUCUAAAUAUACGGUUUCUGUAGAACUAUCAUCUGCGAUAUCGGUAUACGACUGCCACCAUUACAGGGUUACGCCUGGCUUAUGCCUGCUGGGUAGGUGGCGUAAAUAUAGAGCGCUACACCUUGCGUAACUUUAGCUACGUUGAAGAUCUGCAUACCGGUUUAAUGUUACACCCAGGCACAGAUUUUACUUACGCCCGGACUAGAAUUUACGUCCGACAUAUGCAUAUGGCCACAGAUAUUCAGCCAUGUUCCUUUUUUCAAUCAAAUUUUGCAUGAAACUUGCCCAUGUAUCUUAAAAAGUAUUUUAACAUUUCUUUUUCUGAUAUGCAGUACAUAACUACAAACUGUUACCUUCUAUAAUUCUCAUAAUCCCUUACUAAAAUAUUUCUACUUAUUGACCUGACAUUCUUAGUCAUGAUAAAAAUAUUUACCACCAUAGUCUAAGUGUUUUAUCAUGUGACCGGCCAUUCUACCUUUAAGGGUAAAUGGGGACACUGAUUAUCUUCUACACCAAAAACUAUACCCAUGGAUAAUUAUAUAUCCCCUUUUUGUGCAAAAACAAAUAUUUAAAGUAAAAUUCUGUCCCUUUUGUCAUUUUGAAAAUUAUGAUUGUUCAAAAGAAUGGUGCAGGAAUAAUUAGUCUAAAUCAAUUACCCCAGCCCUUAAAGGUUUUAGAAUUCAGAUAAAGCAAUGGUCGGUCUUUGUCGUUGUCUCUUGGAGUCAUCAGUGGAAUAUUCUUGACAUUAUAUUAUGAGCCAUGACAUUAUUAUAAUGUAAACAGUUUAUUAUUGGAGAUGCGUGAAAUGUUAUGGUGUUGAAGAUAUGAAUGAUUUUGCAAUAGUGAGUUUGCUUGUUAUGCAAUUUUGUUUCAAGACUAUGCCAGUACAGAACUGAAAUAUAUACUACUCAAACGAAGUUAAGAACACCCAAUUCUUUCAUGAUACUAUAGUUUAUUCACCAUGCCAAGACUGAUUUAACUAUCGUGAUGUGAAAGAAGCAGCCUUUUUUGACUUCUUUUAAGUAGUAGACGCAGCAGUUUUAGCAUGUAAAUAUGUUAUAGCAGUUAUUAAUGCUUUGUUAAGCAAGCGCAUGUUUGUUUUCACCAAAUUUAAUUAACUUUUAUGAAUAUUUAAUUAACAGAAUAUAGCACAACAAAUUUCAAAUAUAGCUUUUGGAUCUCUGUGUUUCUACACAUUUGGAGGUCAUAUACUGCUCAAAAGAAGUUAAGGUUUGUGCCAUGACCAAUUAUCUACUGUAAUAGGAUGGUCCUUAACUUCUUGAGAGCAGUAUAUGAAUAAAAUGGUACAUAAAAUAUUUAUUUUCCAUUUCAGAGCAACACUAUAAAGAUUAUUGUUUGAUAAUAUUAAACAGAUUUGAAGAAAUAAAUUUGUGUAUUAGAAAUGUUACUAUUAAUAUUUAACUAUAUUUAAAAUUGAAUAUGGUGUUUGAAUUUAUUAAAAUCCUGUGUAUAUGAAUAUUUUCAUAUAAUUAAAAGUCACAUCCUCAAUGAAAAUAGCUCCUGAAAUGCUUUUAAAUGUAUAUGCACUCAAGUAUAAGUACUGAGUAUAAUAAAAAUAGUCAUUUAGUUAGUACUAAGUUAGUACUAAGUACUAAUUAAAGAGCUGGUUAUUUUACAUUAUGUAUACUACUCAAAAAGUGUUAAGAACACUAUGUUUUCAAAUGACUGUGAACCCAAGUCAUGUGAAAUUAUCAUUUAUUCUUUUCUUAAUUUUGAGUAAUAUAUGUAUAAUGCUUAAGAUUUCAGGGACAGUAUAGUAUUUCCUUUGUCAUAUAUGUACACUGUAAUGAUUUAUUUACAAGCGAUGAUCAACCUUCUAAUAUUAUUUGAUGGUAUGAAAUUGUUGUUCCAGAAUAUACACUUAAUCAGAAUAUUCCAUGAUAAUAAGUAUUUGGGUCUCAUGUAGGGUGUAUGUACAAUGAAUCAUGCUUGAAGUCCAGAAGGAAUGUCUGUUUCCAGGAACAGGACUUAAACACCAUUCCAACUGUGCUAUGAUUAUUUGCAUGGCACUAAUGACUUCCUGGUAAAAGAAAUAGAAACCAAUUUGGUUUUCUUAUAUUUCCAGAGUCCCUGCAAUUCUGUUACGGACAUGUGUCCGGAAACACAAUUCUGUUUUCAGCCAACCAGUGCUCAGUCCAGUGCUUAAAUGAAAUACUAAAAUCAAAUUUGGUAUGUUCUAAUUAGAAGGGCAGUAUCAGAUGUUUCUAAAGUGUUCCUAGAAAUUGCUUACAGAAUAGUCAGAACAAAGAGAUUUUGAAACUUUCAGCAUGUCAUUUAUCCAUGAAGCUUUUCUUUCAUGUCAUUGGAACCUUCCAAGUGACAAAUCAGCUUCUGUUAUGUUAUGAUUAUGAAGAAAAGACUCUCCUUGGUUGAGAUAUAAUGAGAAUAUCAUUUAUAUGAAGCAGUUCUCAGUGAUUUUUGUCAAACCUUCUCAAGGUGUAGGAAAUUUGACACACCAGUGACCAAAAAUGAUGCGUUGGAAACCCCUAUUUUAACCUGUGCUGCAUGUUUCCUUGGGUUUUUUUCAAAGGUAAAUAACAUGUCUUUGCAUGUGUUUGUGACAGGUAUCUCCAUUGGGGUGGAAUGCGCUCACCUAUGUCCGAACACCUGGUGUCUUCACUCUGUUAUAGUGAUACAUACACUCAUGCUUAUGAUAAAGUUAGAAUUGUGCCGUUGACUCUGAUUUUGGCAGAAUGUUCUCAGGAUUAUGGAAAUUGACAAUGGUCUUGUCACUAUUAUUGUACUGCAUGUAUAUUGAUGACCAAGAAUAUGGGAACACCUAACAAACACAGAAACUCAUUUCAGACUAAUGCUUCCUGUUGGUGUUGUUGCCUUAUUUUUGACCAUGAUUAUAUUGUGAGUACAGGGUGCCCAUCUUGAGUAGCUAAGGUUGUAACUCCCAAGUUAGUCUUAGCUAAGGUGACGGUAACUCCCAAGUUAGUCUUAGCUUAAGGUGAUGGUAACUCCCAAGUCCCAAGUUCGUCUUAGCGGUAACUCCCAAGUUAGUCUUAGUCUUAGCGCUAAGGUGACGGUAACUCCCAAGUUAGUCUUAGAGCUAUGGUUGUUUUGUACAACGGCACCCAGUACAGUUAGUGCCAUCCUCAGCUCUGGGUGUUUUAGGGCAGGUGUCGACACCUCCAUGUGACUCACAUACUUGAACAUUAUGGCUGCUGAUUAUGUAAUCUGGUGUCAGGAUGUUCUGUGUGUGUACGAGAGGUUAAAGGUACAACAUCAUAUUUGCAUUUUGUGCCAGUCCUUUGUGAGCUUUGAAUGGUUGAAUGGAAUGUUUUGUAUGGACAUUCAACAAAUAUGUUUUAUUUAGCAAUAAACACAACCAACGUUCACUGAGGUGCACCACUCAUCAUGAGCUCAUGAUUCUUAGCACCAGUGGUACAUGUAAAUAUGUUUCUCUUUGCUUUUAUUUGAUGAAGCUAUUUUAUCUGAUAACCACAUUAAGAGGUCCCCUAAAUGAUGGAUAUCUAGCACAGGUUUUUUAAAAGACUGAAUAUAUUUUGUCAUUUGCUGUCACUAUUGUGUUGAAGUAAAACAAAAUGGCAGUCUGAUGUUGCAUCUUUAAAAUGGACAGAGUGGUAGGACCUUGUGUUUUAUCUUUCAUGUAGUCACUGACUUUCACAUAGACUGGUGGUCCAUGUACAACUAUGUCACUGAUUGAAUAAACACAUUAUUAAGCGUU